rnacentral:hammerhead_ribozyme from 1 species
AUCCAGCUGAAGAAUCCCAAUUAAGACGAAACGCGCGUUCUGGAU